rnacentral:rRNA from 1 species
AUUGAACGCUGGCGGCAUGCCUUACACAUGCAAGUCGAACGGUAACAGGUCUUCGGAUGCUGACGAGUGGCGCACGGGUGAGUAAUACAUCGGAACGUGCCCGAUCGUGAGGGAUAACGAGGCGAAAGCUUUGCUAAUACCGCAUACGAUCUACGGAUGAAAGCGGGGGAUCUUCGGACCUCGCGCGGACGGAGCGGCCGAUGGCAGAUUAGGUAGUUGGUGGGAUAAAAGCUUACCAAGCCGACGAUCUGUAGCUGGUCUGAGAGGAUGAUCAGCCACACUGGGACUGAGACACGGCCCAGACUCCUACGGGAGGCAGCAGUGGGGAAUUUUGGACAAUGGGCGAAAGCCUGAUCCAGCCAUGCCGCGUGCAGGAUGAAGGCCUUCGGGUUGUAAACUGCUUUUGUACGGAACGAAAAGCCUCUUUCUAAUAAAGAGGGGUCAUGACGGUACCGUAAGAAUAAGCACCGGCUAACUACGUG